GACGAACGCUGGCGGCGUGCUUAACACAUGCAAGUCGAGCGGUAAGGCCCUUUCGGGGGUACGACGAGCGGCGAACGGGUGAGUAACACGUGGGUGACCUGCCUCCAGCUCUGGGAGUAAGCCUGGGAAACCGGGUCGUAAUAACUGGAUAUGACUCCAUGACGGCAUGUUGUGGGGUGGAAAGCCUUGUGCGGCUGAGGAU
rnacentral:rRNA from 1 species